GCUACUACCGAUUGAAUGGUUUAGUGAGGACUCCUGAUUGGCGCCGCCGCCCCGGCAACGGAGCAGCGGACUACCGAAAAGUUGUUCAAACUUGAUCAUUUAGAGGAAGUAAAAGCCGUAACAAGGUUUCCGUAGGUGAACCUGCAGAAGGAUCAAGACCGGAGGAGACCACGUUGGAAUUCCAGUAACUUGUCCUUAUUUCGUAUGCCGUCUCCUGCUUGAAAAAAAAAAUUAU
rnacentral:misc_RNA from 1 species